rnacentral:tRNA from 2 species
GGGGGCAUAGCUCAGCGGGAGAGCGCCUGCUUUGCAAGCAGGAUGUCCACGGUUCAAAUCCGUGUGCCUCCACCA